rfam:Macrostomum lignano uti_cns_0000383, whole genome shotgun sequence.
GGGGUUAUAGCUUAAUGAUUAGAGCGUCGAACUCACAGCUUGAAGGUCGGGAGUUCGAAUCCUGAUCCUA